rnacentral:rRNA from 1 species
AUUGAACGCUGGCGGCAUGCUUUACACAUGCAAGUCGAACGGUAACAGGCCGCUAGGUGCUGACGAGUGGCGAACGGGUGAGUAAUGCAUCGGAACGUGCCCAGUCGUGGGGGAUAACGCAGCGAAAGCUGCGCUAAUACCGCAUACGAUCUAUGGAUGAAAGCGGGGGACCGUAAGGCAUCGCGCGAUUGGAGCGGCCGAUGUCAGAUUAGGUAGUUGGUGGGGUAAAGGCUCACCAAGCCAACGAUCUGCAGCUGGUCUGAGAGGACGACCAGCCACACUGGGACUGAGACACGGCCCAGACUCCUACGGGAGGCAGCAGUGGGGAAUUUUGGACAAUGGGCGCAAGCCUGAUCCAGCAAUGCCGCGUGCAGGAAGAAGGCCUUCGGGUUGUAAACUGCUUUUGUACGGAACGAAACGGUCCCGGUUAAUACCUGGGGCUAAUGACGGUACCGUAAGAAUAAGCACCGGCUAACUACGUGCCAGCCGCCGCAGUAACAC